GGAAUCACUGGGUUUAAAGGGUGCGUAGGCGGUUGCGUAAGUCAGAAGUGAAAGCUCACAGCUUAACUGUGGAAUUGCUUUUGAUACUGCGUAACUAGAAUCAGGUUGAGGUUGGCGGAAUGUGACAUGUAGCGGUGAAAUGCAUAGAUAUGCCUCAGAACACCGAUUGCGAAGGCAGCUUACUAAGCCAAUACUGACGCUGAGGCACGAAAGCGUGGGUAGCGAACAGGAUUAGAUACCCUGGUAGUCCACGCCGUAAACGAUGGACACUAGUUGUUGGAAUUAUUCAGUGACUAAGCGAAAGUGAUAAGUGUCCCACCUGGGGAGUACGAUCGCAAGAUUGAAACUCAAAGGAAUUGACGGGGGCCCGCACAAGCGGUGGAGCAUGUGGUUUAAUUCGAUGAUACGCGAGGAACCUUACCAGGGCUUAAAUGUAAGAUGCAUUAGUUAGAGAUAGCUAUUUCUUCGGACUUCUUACAAGGUGCUGCAUGGUU
rnacentral:rRNA from 1 species